rnacentral:rRNA from 1 species
GACGAACGCUGGCGGCGUGCUUAACACAUGCAAGUCGAACGGACAGGCCCUGCUUUUGUUGGUUGCUCGAGUGCCGAACGGGUGAGUAACACGUGAGUAACCUGCCCUUGUCUUUCGGAUAACUUCAGGAAACUCCGGCUCAUAUCGCAUAUGAUCUCCUGCUGCAUGGUGUUGGUUGGAAAGUUUCGGCGGUUGUGGAUGGUUGCGAGGCUUAGCAGCUUGUUGGUCUGGUAGUUGCUUACCAAGGGUUUGAGGGGUAGCCGGCCUGGGAGGGUUACCGGGGACAUGGGGACUGAGAUAGGGACCAGAAGCGUACGGGAGGCAGCAGUGGAGAGUAUUACAGAGUGGGCGGGAGCCUGAUGCAGCGACGCCGCGUGCGGGAAGACGGCUUUCGGGGUGUAAACAGAUGUCGCAUGUGACGAAGCGGGAGUGACGGUAAUGGGUAAAGAAGCACCGGCUAACUACGUG